rnacentral:piRNA from 1 species
GAGGAGCUUUCUAGAACUUACUGAGG